rnacentral:rRNA from 1 species
UACGUAGGGGGCAAGCGUUGUCCGGAUUUACUGGGCGUAAAGAGCGUGUAGGCGGCCAAACAGGUCCGUUGUGAAAACUGGAGGCUCAACCUCCAGACGUCGACGGAAACCGUGUGGCUAGAGUCCGGAAGAGGAGAGUGGAAUUCCAGGUGUAGCGGUGAAAUGCGUAGAUAUCUGGAGGAACACCGGUGGCGAAGGCGGCGUUCUGGACUGUCUCUGACACUGAAGAACGAAAGCCAGGGGAGCAAACGGG